rnacentral:rRNA from 1 species
GAUGAACGCUAGCGGCAGGCUUAACACAUGCAAGUCGAGGGGUAUAGUUCUUCGGAAUUAGAGACCGGCGCACGGGUGCGUAACGCGUAUGCAAUCUACCUUUGCAGAGGGAUAGCCCAGAGAAAUUUGGAUUAAUACCUCAUAGUAUAGCAGUUUCGCAUGAGACCACUAUUAAAGUCACAACGGCAAAAGAUGAGCAUGCGUCCCAUUAGCUAGUUGGUAAGGUAACGGCUUACCAAGGCUACGAUGGGUAGGGUCCUGAGAGGGAGAUCCCCCACACUGGUACUGAGACACGGACCAGACUCCUACGGGAGGCAGCAGUGAGGAAUAUUGGACAAUGGGCGCAAGCCUGAUCCAGCCAUGCCGCGUGCAGGAUGACGGUCCU